CNGCNGAUNCCUCCUUUAAGAGAACGGGUACUAGACCCCACACACGUCCACUCGGAUAGCGACUUGGGCCCAUAGCUCAGCCUGGCUAGAGCACACGACUGAUAAUCGUGAGGUCAGUGGUUCGAGUCCACUUGGGCCCACCACAUGGGGCUGUAGCUCAGUUGGGAGAGCACCGGCUUUGCAAGCCGGGGGUCACCGGUUCGAGACCGGUCAGCUCCACCAGACGGUGGGGUGGGGGAGCCGCGGCGGGUCCGUGGUGUGGGCAGUGGGCAGUGCAGAGCUUUGGGUUGUGCACUGUACAUUGGAAGAUGUGCGGUAUGUUCUUUGACAAGUGAGGAAGGGAAGGCCAGAUGACCGGUCCUGGGACGGGUCAUCUCCCCCGAGGGUAUUGGGGGAUAUAUGGUCAAGUGAAUAAGGGCAUACGGUGGAAUGCCUUGAC
rnacentral:tRNA from 1 species